rfam:Anaerosporomusa subterraneum strain RT4 RT4_contig_5, whole genome shotgun sequence.
UCCACUGCGAGAUGGAGUCUGAAGGAAGGCGGUGGCAAAGCUCCGGUCUGAGGAACACGAACCACAUAUAAGGCAUAAGUCUGCGGGCUAGUUUGCAUUUAUCGGAUUCGCAUUUUACCACAAGAAAGGUGAAUUGGGAAUACGGGUACACCCGAAGCCUGCUAAGAAAUUCAAGCAGAAGCUGAAGGAAAUAACAGGAAGAAGCAGCGCCAUGAGCAUGGA